rnacentral:rRNA from 1 species
AGUGAACGCUGGCGGUAGGCCUAACACAUGCAAGUCGAACGGCAGCACAGUAAGAGCUUGCUCUUACGGGUGGCGAGUGGCGGACGGGUGAGGAAUACAUCGGAGUCUACUUUUUCGUGGGGGCUAACGUAGGGACACUUACGCCAAUACCGCAUACGACCUACGGGUGAAAGCAGGGGAUCUUAGGACCUUGCGCGAUUGAAUGAGCCGAUGUCGGAUUAGCUAGUUGGCGGGGUAAAGGCCCACCAAGGCGACGAUCCGUAGCUGGUCUGAGAGGAUGAUCAGCCACACUGGAACUGAGACACGGUCCAGACUCCUACGGGAGGCAGCAGUGGGGAAUAUUGGACAAUGGGCGCAAGCCUGAUCCAGCCAUACCGCGUGGGUGAAGAAGGCCUUCGGGUUGUAAAGCCCUUUUGUUGGGAAAGAAAAGCAGCAGGUUAAUACCCCGCUGUUCUGACGGUACCCAAAGAAUAAGCACCGGCUAACUUCGUG